GACUCUAGUUUUGACUAGAGAUGAUUCAUGUAAGGUACCGGACUUCUAAAAUUAUGAAGUUACGGUGUACAUUUAAAUGGUUCCUGUGAGGUUCCGGUGGAAUGUAGUAUACCGAAUUUUAAAUAUAAAAAAAAAAAAUAAAUAAAAAUAGUAUGAGAUACUAUUUUAUUGGAUUUAGAGAAGUGAAAUAUCAGUUGGGAACGACCUGUGCUGAAAUCGGAGCGAAAACAGAAGAUUUAGAAUUUUCUGUUGGAAACGGGACUGAUAAAUUAGCAGAAAAUGUACAGUCUCAGAAAAUUAUGAAAAUUGGCGGGGAUGUCAGAAAUAUUUUUAUGAGGCUAGAUUUAAAGUUUCAUAUUUUUCUGACACCCGUAGAGUGAGAAAUAAAAUCCGAAAGCUAUCUGAUAAAGAUUGCAGUUCGGCACAGUUUUCGGUGACCAAACGAAGUCGAAACUGAAAACUUAAUAUAUAUUCUUGUUCAGUACGUUAAACCGAACAUGACUGUCAAAUUUGAGCUCAAACGGAUAUUCAGAGAGCUCCGGCGAAAGAUAUCAGAUUUGGAGCUGCCUGAUGUGAAUAGUGUAUGCUACUAUUGAGGUGUUGACUAUAAGUAGAAGCUACUAGGCUUCUUCCUCCUCAAGCUGCAGCCAGCACCAAGCAUCACACGCACAUGGUGAAGGAGAGAGAAACCCUCUCUUUCUCUCUCUAAAUAUCUCUCUCAUCUCUCUAUAUUUCUCGCCCAAAUUCGCGGCGUUGGUGGAGAUCGAGCUUGCGAACGCGUUGGAGGCGACGGAUUGAGCUUUCGUGCGCCCGUUGGAGCGGCGUGUUUUCGUUGCGGCGUUCACGUUGGGGUAAGCUUUUGGGAUUUGGCUUAAUCCUUAGCAUUAAGUGUUCUAUUAGCCUCUAAUGAGCUUUGUUGGCAUGUUGAUCCAUUUAAUUUGGAUUAUUUGGAGGUUAAUUGUACGUUAGGGCUCCGAAUGGGGUUUUGUAAAAUAUAAGGGUUUGAUCUCAUUUGACCUUUCGUAAACCUAAUUGCUAGGUAACGAAACGCGUUGGCGAAGACGGUUCGGUAAUCCGACGAGCCGUUACAAAGUUAUUAAAGAAAUAGACGUUUAGGCUUCGGGUCCGCCGGGAGGGCCGAGGCGACGUCGUAAAAUCAUGGAAAUGGAUUUGAGGCAUCGUGGCACAUAACCGAAGACCUAUAAUUUUCGGGGCUGCGAAGCGGAGCACGGUUGAGGCGCAGUUGCAGUAUCGGGCCGUGCCGGGUGCCGAGUGCCGCGGGAGGCCGAUUGCAAGUGUCGACAAGCAAUCGGAACGCGAGUUAAGGUGGGUUGUGCUUACCGAAGCGACUAGGUCGCCCUUUAUGUCUUAGCAAUGUAAUCUCAUGUUGAUGCAUGUGCAUGUAGACAAGAGCAAGGAUGCAUGUUAAUAAAGAUGCAUAAAGUAGAUGCUAAGUAGAAAGCAUGAUAAAUGGUAAUGCUUAGAGCAAAUGCAUAUUAAUAACAAUGCAUAGUGGAGCAUAAUGAUUAUGGCAUUAGAUAAUGCUAGCUAAUGUAAAGUAAUGCAUGAUAAUGAUAAUGCAUAGAUGAAAAUGCUUAGUAGAAAUGCAUGGUGAGCAAGUUACACAAUGCUAAUAAUGCAUGAUAAUAAUGUAAUGCUAAGUAAUGCAUGAUAUGAAGUAAAUGCAUAUUAAUAAUAAUGCAUGAUGAGGAUGCUAAGUAAGGGAUGCAUGUUAGUAAUGAUGCAAAGAGUAAUUGCUAAGUAGAAAGCAUGAUGCAUGGUAUAUGUAUAUAAACCAGAUGAUAACUCUAGGAUGAGUAGAGAUGACUGGACAACUAAGUUGUCAGGUAGAUCGAGUGGCAUCUAACCUAGUGUUAAAGAACAUAGGUUGGUUAGUAAACCUAGAGUUGAACAAUCUAGGUGUGUGGCAUCUAACCUAGUGUUAGUAAACCUAGGUUGAACUAGUAAACCUAGAAGUGGAUAUCUAGGCAAAGAUGAUAAGAACCUAGCAAGUGUAUCUAGGUUAAGUGAUGUGGACAUAGAACCUAGAGUGUUGGAACCUAGGUUGAUGAGUAUAGUGGUAUAGCCACUAGAUUGAGCUAGGUCGACAGUAUAGGGUUGGCUAUGAACCCUCGACCUGUGGUAAGUGGAUUCCGGAAUCCCAGGACUUAUGAUGUCCCUGGUACAGGCUAGGGCGUUCGUGCGACGAUUUCGCCGCCGAGCUUGGUACCGUGGGUAGAUUGGGGGCGAUCACAUGGAGAUCACCGCCCGGGGCUUGAACCAUUGUGCUGGCGUUUGUGCGACGAUUUCGCCGCCAGAGUGGUUAAGCCAUUUGAGGAUCAGACCGCCAGAGUAGACUGAAUCCAUGCUGGGUAAGUACGAUGCGGGUGCCUCCAGGUGACUGAGUCUGACAUGAUCGUUGUUGGGUGUGGUGCGACCCGUUCGCCGCCAGACGGUAUGUCAUGUCUCGAGCUCACGCUGGGUAUGUGCAACGCGAUCGCCACCGAUGGUCAAGUCUUGUGACUCGAGCCGUAUUCAGCGUGUGCGACGAUUUCGCCGCUAGGAGGCUGAGUCAGAGAGAGUGCGGUAGGCUGUUGAGCAGCCAGUGCGCGGACUAUCCGCAGAUGAUUGACUCGAAGCCGAGUCGGGUGGUUAGCUAUGAUAGGGUAGAGGAACCCUUAUGAGCCAGAGAUAGAGGCUUGAGCUAAGGUAAUAGAAACCUUAGAAGCCAGUGGUUGGUGUUGUGAUCCUAAGGUAAUAGAAACCUUAGAGUAAAGUUAUGAGCUAAAGUAGCCAAGUAAAAGUAGAAUUCAUAUGAUCUACUAGUUGUUGCAUGGUUUUCAUAUCGCAUAUCGUGAGGCAUGGCAUGUAUUUCAAUUGAAUAUAUAUAUCUGUUGUAUAUUGUUGAACUAACAUGUUGCAGUGCCUCCUCGGACCUAUCGGUCGAGCUUUUCCCUUGGGUGGCCGUACCCACUGGGAACCAUGGAGUUGGUUCUCACCCCACGUUGUUUCGGGGUGUUUUCAGGUUGUACAUGUGCGGCGCGACGGCGCGAGGCGAGGGCGUAGCUCAGUAGAUAGCGCCCUGCCACAGAGACCGAGGUAGAAGUACCCUGAGGCAGUCUAGCUUAGGGGACUAGAAGACAAGGAAAAAUAAAAUGUAUUAAACUCGUAAACCCUAAUGUGAUGAGAUUGUAAUCUGGAAGUAAAAAUGCAAAUAAAAACUGUGAUGUAAAAGUGAAUGAAUGCUUGUAAUAGCUAGUAGUUUAUGUAUUUGAUACUUCCUUAUGCAAUCUUGAUUGAUAUCCGUUCCUGGUUGGAACAUCUCUAUAUUGUUUGGAUUGCGACGCCUAGAAUGUACUGGGGAGACUCUGUCCGCGUACAGGGGAAACCCCGGCCCGUCCGGCGGUCUGUUAGCGGCGCCGCGACUCGGUCCAAAUUGGCGGUUGGUCGCGGGGCGUGACAAUUCAAGUGGUAUUAGCUUUUGGCUUAAGGUGAUUGUGUUGGCGGCCGACAACACGAUGCCGAAAGUCAGGAACGAGUACACUUACAAGCUACCGCCUNAUUCAAGUGGUAUUAGCUUUUGGCUUAAGGUGAUUGUGUUGGCGGCCGACAACACGAUGCCGAAAGUCAGGAACGAGUACACUUACAAGCUACCGCCUGAUUGAUGCUAUUUAAACGCUUAUAUUUCGCAAAUUGCGACGACGACGUUGUUGGUUAAGUAACAAACCAACUGUUUGCGUUUCAGGGCCAAUGGCACCAAGGGGACGCCCUAGGACGAGAUACGCUCCGGCACCGCCUCCUGAGGUGCCCGAGCAGGCCGAGCCGAGCGUGAUCGAUCGGCUGCAGGCGCAGGUGAUGGCGUUGACCGAUGUUAUAAUAUACCAGAUUUUGGUAUAAAAAUAAAAGUAAACAAAAAUAUUGUGAGAUACUAUUUUUAUUGGUUUUUGAGAAACAAAGUAUAAGUCUAUAAUGACUUGUGCUGAAAUCGGAAUGAAAACAGAAGAUUUAUAAUUUUCUGUUGAAAACGGGGUGGAUAAAUUAGCAGAAAAUGCACAGUGUCAGAAAAUUAUGAAAAUUUGACGGAUCAGUCAGAAUUAUUUUUAUGAGGCUAGAUUUAAAGUUUCAUACCAUUCCGACAUCCGUAGAGAGAGAAAUAAAAUCCGAAAGCUAUCUGAUAAAGAUUACAAUUCGGUACAGUUUUCAGUGACCAAACGGAGUCGAAACUAAAAUAUUAAAAUUUUUUUGGACUCAGUACGUAAAACCGAGCCUGCCUGUCAAGUUUGAGCUCAAACGGACAUUCAGAAGGGCUCCGGCGAAAAAAAUGUCAGUUUUAAGCCUCCCUGGAGUGAAUAGUGUUCUUGGAAGCUUCUUAUGAAACUUGGAGAGCAAGUUUCCUCUCUAUGUAUAUAUAGGACUUGGGCUUUCUUUCCUCUCAUUAUUCACACUCACAACCAAAAAAAAAAAUCUCUCUCUACACCAAAGAGAGGAUUGGAGAAGAAAAGAAAGAAAAAUUGAAGCAAGCUUGGAGAAGAUUAGAGUAGCUUGAAGUUGAAGCUCUCUCUAAUGGUGGAGGCAAGCUUUCCAAUGGUGGAUUUAGCUUGAUGUGAAUGGUGGUCUAAGGUGAGAUCUCAUAAUUUAAGCUAGGAUUUGGUUUAAUCCUUAAUGCUUAGUGUUCCAAUAGCCUCUAAUGUGUUGAUUAGCAUGUUAAAUCCAUUUAAUUUGGGUUAAUUGGAGCAUGUGUAGAGGCUAGGUUUAUAAUGAUAGAUCUUUAGAGCUUUAAUUAUAUGCUCUAAGAUUGGAUUUAGAGGAAUCCUUAGAUGCUAAAUGGAUGACUAUUGCAUGAAUUAAGGGAUUAUAUGAUGAAUUCUUGCAAUAGUGUAUCUUAGGGCUCGAAAAUUGAGUUUUGUAAAAUAGUAGGGUUUGAUAUCAUUUGUCCUAAUUGCUAGGUAAACGAACGCGUUGGCGAAGUCGGUUCGGCGAUUCGUCGAGCCGUUACGAAGUUAUUAAAGAAACGGACGUUUAGGCUUCGGGUCCGCCGGGAGGGCCGAGGCGACGACAUAAAAUCGUGGAAAUGGAUUUGAGGCACCGUGGUAGCGUGGCGAAGAGCUUCUGCACUUGAAACGGCGAAGCGGCGAGCUCUUGGAGUGCGAUCAUGAGAUCAGGCCCAAACGGAUGCCGAGUGCCGCGGGAGGCCGAUUGCAAGUGACGACAAGUAAUCGGAGAGCCAUUUAAGGUGGGUUGUGUUUACCGAAGCGACUAGGUCGCCUCUAUGUCUAAGAGUAAAGGUUUCAUAUUGAUGCAUGUAGUGGUAGCCAAUGAUAGAAUGUAUAAAUGCAUGGAAAGAAUACUAUAUGGGCUACCAAAUAAUGCAUGUGGUCAUAAUGUGAGAAUGCUAAGUAAUGCUUAAUGAUGUAGUGUAAAUGAUGCUAAGUGGAAAGCAUAAAGUAG
rnacentral:lncRNA from 1 species